rnacentral:rRNA from 1 species
GACGAACGCUGGCGGCGUGCUUAACACAUGCAAGUCGAACGGAAAGGCCCUGCUUUUGUGGGGUGCUCGGGUAGCGAACGGGUGAGUCACGAGUGAGUAGCCUGCCCUUGACUGUGGGAUAACUUCAAGCAACUGGGGUUACUACCGGGUCGCGCCUCCUGCUGCAUGGGGGGGGUUGGAUAGUUUGGGCGGGUGGGGGUGGACUCGCGGUUUACUAGCUUGUUGGUGGGGUAGUGGCCUACCAAGGCUUUGGCGGGUAGCCGGCCUGAGAGGGUGACCGGCCACAGUGGGAGUGAGAGACGGCCCAGACACCUACGGGAGGAAGCAGGGGGGAAGAUUGCAGAACGGGCGGAAGACGGAUGCAGGAACGCUGCGGGCGGGAUGACUGCCGUCGGGUUGUAAACCGCUGUCGCCUGGGAGGAAGCGUGAGUGACGGUAAUGGGAAAAGAAGCACCGGCUAACUACGUG